rnacentral:lncRNA from 1 species
AGUCAACAAUAAUAAGAAAAAUAGCAAAAUCGUAAAGGAAAAAUAACAAACAAACUUGAAGUGCUUCAGAUCUAAGGAGAUCUGAACGAUUUAGCUAAAUAUAAUUAGGUUAUGAAUAAAAUAAACAUUGGUGAGAAAAAUCGGGUUUAAACCAAAGAUUUGAAGCCCCAAACACGAAGAUAUUACUACUCACAAACAUAGGAAUGAACACAGAUGGAUUCAUCGAGAAAAUGGGGGAUUUGAACCAAGUCUGUGUCGAAUAUCUUUGAGAUUCCAUCAAAUAACAUGGAAGUCGAACAACCAGUAGAGAUAGGAGGCUGGAUAAGGCCUAGAAUCGAAGAAGAAACCCAUGGAUCAAAGGGAUUCUGGUGAUAGAGGGAUAAGGUUGGGAGGAGGGUAAGAGAGAAGAGAUGAGGAGAAAG